GACAGAGGGUGCAAACGUUGUUCGGAAUUACUGGGCGUAAAGCGAGUGUAGGCGGUCUGUAAAGUCGGGUGUGAAAGCCCCGGGCUCAACCCGGGAAGUGCACUCGAAACUCACAGGCUAGAGUAUCGGAGAGGUUGGUGGAAUUCUCGGUGUAGAGGUGAAAAUUCGUAGAUAUCGAGAGGAACACCGGUGGCGAAGGCGGCCAACUGGACGAAUACUGACGCUGAGACUCGAAAGCGUGGGGAGCAAACAGG
rnacentral:rRNA from 1 species